rnacentral:lncRNA from 1 species
AUGUCUUUGGUCUGUUUUCUCAUUUACAGCGUCCAAAAGUCAGAAGUGGUGAUGGGGUAUCUCAGAGACAGAGGAACUCCUGAAAUGGACGCGUGGUGGAUUCCUCUUGACGAAAGACUUCAGUGUCUCUCAACAGAUGUCAGCCAUGCACUGCUUAUUGUUUCUCCAGAGUGCUUUGCUGUGUUCAGAGACAGAUCUGGAAGAUAUGGAUUUUUUGAUUCACAUUCCAGAACUGCUGAAGGUUUGCCACAUCCUACUGGUGACGGAACGGCAGUUAUGCUCACUUUCACCAACCUGCAUGACAUGACCAACAGACUACUUGAGCUUUUUUGGAAUCGUGGUGCUCAGACUUGCUACGAAUUCAUGGCUGUUUCAUUUGAAAUGGAGCAACAGUCUGAGGAACCAUGCUCAUCAUCAGCAUGUGUGUCACCAUCAGAGGUAACUUCAUCUCUGCCAAAAACACAAACAACUGCUGACAUCAGAAUCCCUGAAAAUCUUGUUCUUACAGAUGACAAAAACAAAAGUGUCAUAAAGGUUUUAAAAACAAACAAGCAGCGAAGAAGAAAAGAAAUUCGUAAAACUGUUUAUGAAAAGCGAGAUGCAGGACUUGAGGGUACAUCUUCACAUUUUGAAGUACGAAAACAAAAAAGAAGAGAAUAUGAGAGAGAGAAAUAUGCCACCAAUUUGCAUUUUCGGAUGAAGAAAAGAGAGAUUACCAAAAAGAAGUAUGAUCAAGAUCCUUUUGCCAGACACAAAAAGAUGGAAUACAUUACCAGGAGGUACAACACGGAUGUUCUCUUUCAAAAAAAACAGAAGGGGUACAUAAUUAAGCGAUACCACACUGAUGCUCUUUUCCAGAGGAAAAUGAAGAACUACAUGGUCACGAGGUACAAGACAGAUGCUCUUUUUCAGAGGAAAAUGAAGAACUACAUGGUCACGAGGUACAAGACAGAUGCUCUUUUCCAGAGGAAAAUGAAGAACUACAGUGGUCACGAGGUACAAGACAGAUGA